rnacentral:rRNA from 1 species
CGGACGGGUGAGUAACGCGUGGGUAACCUGCCUCAUACAGGGGGAUAACGGUUAGAAAUGACUGCUAAUACCGCAUAAGCGCACAGUACCGCAUGGUACAGUGCGAAAAACUCCGGUGGUAUGAGAUGGACCCGCGUCUGAUUAGCUAGUUGGUGAGGUAACGGCCCACCAAGGCGACGAUCAGUAGCCGACCUGAGAGGGUGACCGGCCACAUUGGGACUGAGACACGGCCCAG